AGGAAUAUUGGUCAAUGGGCGAGAGCCUGAACCAGCCAAGUAGCGUGCAGGAUGACGGCCCUAUGGGUUGUAAACUGCUUUUAUAAGGGAAUAAAGUGAGAGUCGUGACUCUUUUUGCAUGUACCUUAUGAAUAAGGACCGGCUAACUCCGUGCCAGCAGCCGCGGUAAUACGGAAGGUCCGGGCGUUAUCCGGAUUUAUUGGGUUUAAAGGGAGCGUAGGCCGGAGAUUAAGCGUGUUGUGAAAUGUAGACGCUCAACGUCUGCACUGCAGCGCGAACUGGUUUCCUUGAGUACGCACAAAGUGGGCGGAAUUCGUGGUGUAGCGGUGAAAUGCUUAGAUAUCACGAAGAACUCCGAUUGCGAAGGCAGCUCACUGGAGCGCAACUGACGCUGAAGCUCGAAAGUGCGGGUAUCGAACAGGAUUAGAUACCCUGGUAGUCCGCACGGUAAACGAUGGAUGCCCGCUGUUGGUCUGAACAGGUCAGCGGCCAAGCGAAAGCAUUAAGCAUCCCACCUGGGGAGUACGCCGGCAACGGUGAAACUCAAAGGAAUUGACGGGGGCCCGCACAAGCGGAGGAACAUGUGGUUUAAUUCGAUGAUACGCGAGGAACCUUACCCGGGCUUGAAUUGCAGAGGAAGGAUUUGGAGACAAUGACGCCCUUCGGGGCCUCUGUGAAGGUGCUGCAUGGUUGUCGUCAGCUCGUGCCGUGAGGUGUCGGCUUAAGUGCCAUAACGAGCGCAACCCCUCUCCUUAGUUGCCAUCAGGUUAAGCUGGGCACUCUGGGGACACUGCCACCGUAAGGUGUGAGGAAGGUGGGGAUGACGUCAAAUCAGCACGGCCCUUACGUCCGGGGCUACACACGUGUUACAAUGGCAGGUACAGAGAGACGGUCCCUUGCAAAAUGGAUCAAAUCCUUAAAGCCUGUCUCAGUUCGGACUGGGGUCUGCAACCCGACCCCACGAAGCUGGAUUCGCUAGUAAUCGCGCAUCAGCCAUGGCGCGGUGAAUACGUUCCCG
rnacentral:rRNA from 1 species